rnacentral:rRNA from 1 species
GACGAACGCUGGCGGCGUGCUUAACACAUGCAAGUCGAAUGGAAAGGCCCUGCUUUUGUGGGGUGCUCGAGUGGCGAACGGGUGAGUAACACGUGAGUAACCUGCCCUUGACUUUGGGAUAACUUCAGGAAACUGGGGCUAAUACCGGAUAGGAGCUCCUGCUGCAUGGUGGGGGUUGGAAAGUUUCGGCGGUUGGGGAUGGACUCGCGGCUUAUCAGCUUGUUGGUGGGGUAGUGGCUUACCAAGGCUUUGACGGGUAGCCGGCCUGAGAGGGUGACCGGCCACAUUGGGACUGAGAUACGGCCCAGACUCCUACGGGAGGCAGCAGUGGGGAAUAUUGCACAAUGGGCGGAAGCCUGAUGCAGCAACGCCGCGUGCGGGAUGACGGCCUUCGGGUUGUAAACCGCUUUCGCCUGUGACGAAGCGUGAGUGACGGUAAUGGGUAAAGAAGCACCGGCUAACUACGU